GGUGAGGUGUCCGAGUGGUUGAAGGAGCACGCCUGGAAAGUGUGUAUACGUUAAUAGCGUAUCGAGGGUUCGAAUCCCUCCCUCACCGCCA
rnacentral:tRNA from 1 species